rnacentral:rRNA from 1 species
AUUGAACGCUGGCGGCAGGCCUAACACAUGCAAGUCGAGCGGAUGAAGGGAGCUUGCUCCUGGAUUCAGCGGCGGACGGGUGAGUAAUGCCUAGGAAUCUGCCUGGUAGUGGGGGAUAACGUCCGGAAACGGGCGCUAAUACCGCAUACGUCCUGAGGGAGAAAGUGGGGGAUCUUCGGACCUCACGCUAUCAGAUGAGCCUAGGUCGGAUUAGCUAGUUGGUGGGGUAAAGGCCUACCAAGGCGACGAUCCGUAACUGGUCUGAGAGGAUGAUCAGUCACACUUGAACUGAGACACGGGCCAGGCUCCUACGGGGGGCAACCGUGGGGAAUAUUUGACCAUGGGCCAAAGCCCUGUCCAGGCCUGGCGCCUGUGUUGAGAAAGUCUUCGGAUUUUAAAGCACUUUAAGGUUGGAGGGAGGGCAGUAAGUUAAUACCUUUCCGUUUUGACGUUACCAACAGAAUAAGCACCGGCUAACUUCGUG